CUACCUGUUCCAGAAACUUCACAAAACAUCCUGUGGGGAUGGAUCCCUAGAGAGUGAUGCUGAGACGACUUGCCUGCUGUAGCCUUGGGGAAAUUGGAUGUGUCUUGACUCAGGGGAUGCGAUCAGUUAGCAUCUUCCUGAAAUGUUGAUACCACGAAUGUGGUGGUUUGAAUGAGAAUGGCCCACGAGUUUGAGUACUUGGCUACUUGGCUCCCCAUUUGUUGGACCAGAUAGGUAGAAUUAGGAGGUGUGGCCUCGUUGGAGAAGGUGAGCCCUUGGGAGUGGGUGUGCCCCACAUCAUUUCCUGGUAGCGCUCUGCCUCCUAUUUGUAGAUAAGGAUGUAAGCUGGUGGCAACUGCUUCAGUCACGUCUGCCUGUUGCCACGCUCCCUGUCAUGAUGGCUGUGACCUCCAACCUUCUAGAACUGUGAGUCCCAGGAACUUCUAUAAGUUGCCUUGGUCAUAGGGUCUCUUCACAACAACAGAUAGCAGAGAAAUUCUAUGUUGUUUGAAGUGUUGUCAUCUCAACGUACUUAGCAAACAAAGACACCAAGAACAACUGAAUCCUUCCCUGGAGCCCUUGGGCUACUGCUCAAAAGAGAUAGAAGCAAAGGCUUAGUAUCGAACCUGUCAGAAGACACUCGUGUGCAGGGGAACCAGAGCUGCCCAUGAUAGAAGAGAGACCAGAAAGUGCAAGGCCUUCUGGGAACUGAGGCCCAAGCUGGGGACCGAACCCAGGGCUUUGCGCUUCCUAGGUAAGCGCUCUACCACUGAGCUAAAUCCCCAGCCCCUAUAGGUCUUAUACAGGAGCUGCUGUUUAAACCUCUGCAGUUCUCCUCAGACUUGGAAGACUGUUAGGAAGCGUGAGCCGAAGACAGGAUCAGCAACACAUUAAGCUAUCAAGGAUGGAUACUCUUUGACCUGCGCAGAAUUAGCCUCUGACACCAGAGAAGUUUAAAGACAGUCAGUGUCAGGGUAAGCCAGGGACCACAGCACUAACUGGAGGAGAUCAGAACUACAAUGCCAUCACAAUAACCCAAACCAGAAGGAAGGACCGUUCUCCUCGUCUAGAAUUCUGCUUCCCCACCGGAGUUGGGAAACCCAUGCAUCCAGCUUAUUUGGCUUCUAAGGCAAGGCCUGGACAAGGUCCUGGAAGUCUCUUAUAAUUCCUUAGCACCGUGUCUCAAGCUACACCCAUCUCCUCUCUCCAUAAGAACCGGUGUCUUUAAGGGAAGAAGACCACUUCUUCCUCCAGGAGGCAUAGCCACAUCCCUAGCCCUCAGGACGAACAUCUACAAUCAAGGCAUUGUUCUGUGCUGUAAGGAGUAGAGGUUUAAAGGAGAUCACCACCUUGCUCCGUUCAAAACAGUUAUCUGUUCUCUCCAACUCCCUUGAGGUCUCAGGUGUUCACAGCUCAAGUCUGCAUCCUUGCAUAUUCUCGUAUCCGGUUACUAUUAUGUUUAUUUGGUUAAUUAUUUACAUCUUGAGGACGAGCAUCGAGCUGACCUGUGCUAUAAGCAGUGAGUGGGACCUGGGCUGCCCUUGCUUGGAUUUUUCCCUUUUGAUACCCAAGGGAGGACACCCUGUAUUUAUGUCGAUUUCCUUUUGAGUUAUAACACCUAACUGUGAAGAUAACAACUUCCCCAUUGAAGUGGGCAUUCCACAAAGCCAAGGCCCUAAAAUACACCACCAGGAGGUUUGUUGAAAGUGGAGAAGGAAGAGGUGGACACAUAGCCCAGCAUGUGAUCUGUGGGUGGGGACAGAUCACUGCCCAGGAGCAGUCUUUGGAAUUGCAUGUGAAGGCUACUCAGAGUUGCUCUUGGUCUCCCCAAUGAUGUCCAACUCAGCACCACAACCUGGACGUCCAGAUUCUCCCGGAAUGCUUGGUGUUACUCCUUCGUACGGUUCCUGGGAUUCAGUUAUGAGCACCCAUCUCUCAGAACUACGAGCAAGUACUCAGGAUGCUGAGACUUCUACUGCAGUUCUGGAGACAGAGGCGCAGGGAAGUAAAAAGCGCCUUCAGUUCUUCUGCUGAGGAUGCCAAAUGGUACACGUCUCGCCUCUCCUUUGCUUCCCCAAGGCUUUUGGCAAAGCUGACGAGGGGCGGAGAAGCAGAGACUUGGGGCUUCUGAAAGCGAAGUGGAUUUUUGAAUGCUAAAAAACCAAAAAUGGAUAAUUUCCAGUUCUAAAGAACUGCCUCUGAGGGUAAUUGAGGCAAUAAAAACUCACUUUUUGAACCUGGCAAGCGAUGUUUCAUUGACUUAAUUGAGUUUUCAACUCAACAAAAUUGCUUUUCAGGGGACAGCUGCUUUUUUUGUUUUUGUUUUGUUUUUAACUU